AUUGAACGCUGGCGGCGUGCCUAACACAUGCAAGUCGAGCGGUAACAGGUGUAGCAAUACAUGCUGACGAGCGGCGGACGGGUGAGCAAUAUUUGGGAAUCUGCCUAUUAGUGGGGGAUAACCCGGGGAAACUCGGGCUAAUACCGCAUACGCUCUACGGAGGAAAGCCGGGGACCGCAAGGCCUGGCGCUAGUAGAUGAGCCCAAAUCGGAUUAGCUAGUUGGUGAGGAACGGCUCACCAAGGCGACGAUCCGUAGCUGGUUUGAGAGAACGACCAGCCACACCGGAACUGAGACACGGUCCGGACUCCUACGGGAGGCAGCAGUGGGGAAUAUUGGACAAUGGGCGAAAGCCUGAUCCAGCGACGCCGCGUGGGUGAAGAAGGCCUGCGGGUUGUAAAGCCCUUUCGGUUGGGAAGAAAAGUAUUGGCCUAAUACGCUAGUACCUUGACGUAACCAACAAAGAAGCACCGGCUAACUCUGUGCCAGCAGCCGCAGU
rnacentral:rRNA from 1 species